rnacentral:lncRNA from 10 species
AUCCGCGGGAGUGGGGUAGGAAUAGAGCCCUGAGGGACAGGGACUAUGGCGACGCGGGGGUGGGAGGUACAGAGAGGGGUGUCGAGCCUGGAGCAGGGCUAUGGCAGGGACACUCACUGGGGCAUGGGCAGCGACAGGCGAAGAAGGUUCAGGGCCAGGUGGACAGUCAUGUCUCAAUUCAGGAAAGAGAAGUGCAGGCAGGAUUGGGUGCGGGAGAGCCAGGCCCAUCACCAGCACCGAGUUAGGGGUCUGCAGAGCUGAUUGGAGGGUGGGUUUGGAGGGGCAAGGAAAACAGCAGCAGGCACUCCUGGAGUGGCCGCCUGUCCCCCUGCUCUCAGAGGGUACCUCCAGCUCAGAAGGACCCAGUCUGAGUCCAGGGUUUUCCGUGGAGAGGAUGGAGAAGCCUCAGUCCGCCAGCCCUCUCCCCAGUAGAAAUGCAGAAAGCUCACAGCUGGAAUUAGGGAGAGGAUGGGGAUACUAGUCAGUGAGCCAGCCUCCCCCGACCUAAGGCUAGAGGCCCAGAGAUUGUUUUCCCAUUGACUCUUCAUUUUCCACUGCCCAAGGAUGAACUCAAACACAGGAGAUAGGAGAUGAUUUGGAUGAAGUGAUAAAGAAAAGGCUUCACUCCAAGAAAAAAAAGAAAAAGAAAAGAAAAUGAAAAGACCUGCAGGAGCAAGAAGCCCUUUCCAGGGUGUGCUUAUGAGGAAGAAGGGAAUUAUGGUGAUAGCUACCACUUAAGCACUUACCUUGUUCCAGGUGCAAUAACGGUGUUUUACAGGCAUUAUUUUAUUUAGUCCCCCAAAAUAAAGCUAUUACGUACCUUUUUAUCAUUACCCCUAAUAAAACUAAUGAUUAGACUGUUUAAAAACCUACCUGGGUCAUACGGACAGUUACCAGUGGACCCAAGAUUCAAACCUUUGUAUUUCAGAGUCCAGAAUAUAUAUUUUUACCCCUACUUUGUAGGAUAAGAAAAUGCAGCCCAGUCAACCAGCCAAGGUCUACCAUUUGCUAUAGGUGUGUGGCCUUCGGCAAGUUAUCUAAUCUUUUCCUAUCUCAGCUCCUUCCUCUAAAAUAUCAGGAUAAUGGUAUCCACCUCUAUGGGUCGUGGGGAAGAAUAAACAGCAUGAUAUGCAUAAAGUCUCUUGCACAACCUAGCUGCUCAAUAAAUGGUAGCUUUUAUGCUUGUCUUAAAAAUAACAUUAAGUUAAUGUGAAAUAGUCAUUUUUGUAGGCCAAAAGUGGUCAUAUAAUAACAAUUUCAUAUGGUUCAACCUAAUAAUAAUCAGGCCCACCUCUAUGCCCCAAACUAGGUUUCUGCUUCUCUGACAGCCUGCCCUGGCUGAAAGUAGAAGGCGUGAGGGGAUUGAUGGUAUAGAUUGCAGAGGAAAGGCUAUGGAACGGAGAGGAAUUCAGCCUCUGAGCCCUUUUGUUGCAUUAACAUUACUUGCAGUAUUAGUGUGGGUCAGGAUGGGGAUGGUUACUAUGAAGUUAGAAGGACAUUUCUCCUUUGAUCUGGCUCACUGGCUUCUAGGAAUUUGCCUCCUUCUUUUUUUUUUUCUUUUCAUGAAGUCUUCCACUGCUUUGACUAUCUUUUUCUUCUAGGACACGAGAUGACCAAGGUUUCACAUAAUAAUGGUAAUUCAGUUCUGCACAUUAGCUCUCCCUGCCAUCAUCCAUCCGGUUCAUAGAAGUGGACAGGAUAUGAGGAAGGCUUCAGUGAUCACUGUCCUAGCCAGAUUCUGCCCCAGGACCACAAGCUUAAACUCCAGAUGCCCAAGCCCCGGCUUAUAAAUGGUUCCCCUCGCCAUGUUUCCCAAGCUGUGGAGGAGUGGGAAGGUUGAGUGGAGGAAGGGAUAUCUGCCUCCAACCACGCUAGACCCGACCUGCUGUCACCGCCCGCCCCAGCUGGAUCCAGAAUGGAAACCUGGAAUAGCAGGCAAAGCCACCCCCGACACUCCAUGUUCCUCCCCAGAACCAGCUCCCUCUCCUACCAGCUGAAUUUUCAGGACAGAGCUGCCAGGUGGCCAGUCCACAGGUGGAAGUGGAAGGAGAUUGAAAGGACCUGGGAAGAGGUUCAUUGGUCAUGGUGCCUGGCUGGUGCUUUCCAAAGCCAAGGUUGCUGGUGUGUGCCUGACAGUUCCAUAGGAAGUAGGGACUUCUGGGAGGGAGGAGGAGGUGGAAGGUGCCCUGGUCAGCAAAGUGGGGUCCAAGCCUUCUAGUCCCAACUGGGCACAUCACUUCAUCUCUGAGAGUCUCAUUUUCUUCAGCCACAACUAAUGAACAAAGUCUCCUUCAGCUCCCAAAUCCGAAUAGCUUUAAGGAUAUCCCCUGCUUGCUGCUUGUUAUUAUGUCAGGCCCUGUGCUAAGCGCUUUGCAUAUAUUACCUCAUUUAAUCCCCAUUUUGGAAGUCAGGAAACAGCCUCUGAGACAUUUUGUAACUUAGCUAAGGUCACUCAGUUGACAAAUAGUGAAGUGAUGGGAUUCAGUAGCCUCUGCUGCUAGCCACUGCCUCAGGGCAGGUAAUUAUUUCUAUGAAUUCAGCAGGGCCAAGCCAACUAGACUAAGCAAAAGAAAUGAGGAUCCAAAAAAAUUCAUGCGCUUUUUCAUGCGCGGUGAAUGCAGGAAAAGUCAUAUAUAUAUAUGGCUAUGUAAAUCAGCAACUGCAAUAUUUGAAUCAGCAUGAAUAAAAAACCAUUCCUCUGUCUCUUAAAAAAAUAGGCAGAUCUGUUUUCUUCUUCCUCAUUUCUAUCUGAGCCUCUGUACCAAGGAGAAACGGGAAUAAGACAGGACUAGAUUCUUCCCAAACACCAGGUGAUGCGGUCAGUGAGGAGAGCUCCAGAAUCAAAAGAUGAAGAAGGACCUGCCUCUAGCCCCCAAGAGGUAUGCUGUUCUUCCCACACAUCUCAGCUCUCUCCCAGCACUGAGUCCAGCCCUCCACAGAAAGGGGAGGAAAAUGCCCACCCCUAGCCCUGCCCUUCCCCAACCCUCCACACAUCACUCCUUCUUCUUCCUGCCCUCCUGCACAGUCUGAUAAUGGUGCUCUCUCUUGCUCAGCCCUUUAGCCCUGCAGACCUAGGACAGGGCAUGACUUGGGAAGGCUCCUGUGCACAGGGUGCACUGGAGGAGGUGCCCCAGGCCCUGGGCCAUGGAGAUAAUUGUGUAUCUGCUUCUCUUUUACCUUUUGGGUGGGUAGCCUCUCCUUUUUUAAGGGACACUGACUUCAACCAUGUCUACUAAUCCCUCAGUAUGGCUCCCUGGGCACUCAAGAGCAACAGUUCCAGGCAGGGACCCCCACAUCCUACUCUAAUUACUACUGCAGACACAGAGGAGACCAAUUCCAUUCCUUCCCUGGCCUCUUGGAUUCUUUGUUUACUCACCUCUUUCCA